UGGAAGCAAAUCAGACUCAUCAGAUUCUGAAUUUUAAAAGCUGCUGAAUUUCUUACUUUGAAUUUUUUUUGCAUCAAAAUUACGUAUGUGAAUUUUUUAUGCCUGAAUUUAGCUCAUCAAAAUUCUAAAAACCAGUUAAAAAUUCAAUGUCUUAAAAAUUCACCAUCAAAAAAUUCAAUGUUCAAAAUUCGCCAUCAAAAAAUUCAAUGUUCAAAAUUCGCUGUCAAAAAAUUUGCUGUUCACAUCCGGGGGACUCAGGCGUAAACAAUCGAUCCUGGCCAAUCACGUGGCGCUCCUCCGGUCAUGUGACGCAGACGGUUCACCUCACAAGACAGGGAUCAACCACGGCUACCAGCAUGAACGACGGCGCUUCAGACCCAUGCAGCGAGGACCCGAUGCCAGGUCCAGUGGACAGACUUCAGACGUCUCUGUGUGUCCCGUCCUGUCCGGUCCUGUCUCUGGUUGCCUGGUUACAGACGCUGCUGCACCCGCACGUUUAAAAAUGUCUACACCUGAAACUCCACCACGUCUAAAGAAGCAAAAACGUUUGCAAAUGUACAGACUGGAGUGGGAAGAGUGGAACCCCUGACAAUGGGUACAAGGCAAACUGUGUUUUCUGUUGCUCAUGGACUGGCUGAAGUAAGGCAGCAUCAGGAGACAAACAUGGAGGAAAUAUGAGAACAGAGAGAACCCAACCAGCAGGUCACAGUUUAUCAUCAUCUAAUCAUCUCCUGAAGUCGAUAUGGUCCCUCUCUAUCUCCCAACACAUCCACCAACCACUGGAACACAUCUCCAAAGUUCUGCUGGACCAGCUCAGCUUCCCCUCAGAAGAAGUGCAGCCACCUGCCAGAUGAAGGAGCCUUUUGAGAGGCAGCUGGCAUCGUGAUUGGACUGUACUUUGGUCUGUUCCAAUCCAGCUUCAGCUCCAGAGACGGCAGGCGGGACGAGUCAACGGAGGCCGGGUGGAUGAAGGCAUGCAGCUGAGUACAAUCCAGAAAACAACAGAGGAGGAGUGCAGCGGCCCAGAGCCAGAACAAACAGUAGCAUGGUAUGUCUCUUAGAAAACAUCCUAGUAUAGCCUUUGGUAUGAAAAAACACCAUCAUAUACAUCGUAUAUUGUACAAAUAACAAGUCAAAGGAAAGAGACAUACAUUGUAGAAUUGUAGUAAUUGUGGGCUGACUGAUUUACUGAUUAUCAGUAUUAUAUUGUUUUUGCUGAUUUAUGGUAAUAAAUACAUUUAAAAAUAGUGCUACUUUUGCUCUAAACCUUUACCUACCUGUGGUCACUCUGUCUUCUGGAGUGAUUUGAUUGGUUAUACGUCACGAAUAAAACUCCUUUAACUUAACAUCUGUAAACAAAACAAAAACGUAUCAACAAAGUUUCCUGUUAGUUUGUGUUCUUCUAAGUUUAACUCCAAGAUUUUAAAUAUUUUCAUUUACUGCAAAUGAAUAUCUACUCCAAAUGUCUCACUAAUAAUCAUUAUCAGCCUUAAAAACCCACAAAACACCCCUCUACACUCCACCACACUUAGUACAGUCCGGUUCCCCCUUCUAUAAAUCUGCUUGGAAUCCUCCACUUCCUGUUUGUCAAAGUGGCCUUCUACCUGGACAGGUUUUGUUGGAGCUCAUGCAACAAACAUUUUGGGUAACUGCACUUUAAUAUGGAUGGAUGACACUGAAUUAGAGUCUGUUUUAAUGAGACUGAGUUAAGAUGUGUAGCUCUGUCAUUAAAUAGGAAAUUAUUUCUCUGAAUUCACAGAGAAAAGUCUGAAAUGUUUGCUAGGUUAGCGUCCCACAUGUUCUUUGGCUCAGCUAAAGCUAACUCUUUCCAACUUCUGGAUCUCUUGAGUUGCUUGUUGUUAAAAUAUCUUGCUGUAGGUACUGAAGCUCAGAAAGUCUGAGAUGUUUGUUCAAAAUAAGCUCAUUCUCAAGUCUUAUCUGAACUGUCCUCUUUUGUUUGAACUUUCCCUAAACUUAGGAGUUAACGACAGAGCAGCACAUCCAGACUCAGUCUCAUUUAUGUAGAGAUUAAACUUCAGUGUCAUUCAUUGAUGUUAAAGUGCAGUUUUUCAAAUGUUUGUUGAACAUGCUCCCGACCAAACCAGUCCAGGUGGAAGACGAUGUGAAGAGAAAAGUCCAGAGGAUGAAUAUCACACAUUUAUGUUGGAAAUAAAUGUCCUUUCAUUAGACAUUGUCAUGCAAAAAUUGGAUUUCCCUUUAAUGAUGUUCAAAUCUUUGUUGAGUGUUUCGUGGAUGUUGGUUUCUAAAUGUUUUUUGACACUCGGUCCCAAAGAUUAAAACCUUCUACGGCUCACAAGCUGCAACAAUUCACACAUUAUCAACUAUGUUUCUGACUAAACUAAGAUAAAAAGUGAAAAACUGCCUGAUUCCUGCAUCAUGAAUGUAAAUCUUUUUGGUUUUUAUGACAGUAAACUGAAUAUAUUUGGGUUUGACAUUUUAUAAACCAAAACAAGAAAUGAAUUAGUGGAGAAAACAAUCAACAGAUUAAUGGUCAAAGAAACUGUGUUUUCCAACAUGUAUGGCUGAAUUAUUCCAUUACAAGAUACAUACAAUUUUAAUUCAAUUUUAUUUAUAUAACACCUAUUACAGGUGAAAUUGUCUCAAGACACUUCCAUUUUCUGUCACAUUUAAAAUAUGACAAAGUAAGAAAUUUAAACUUCUUGACUAAUCCAAUUUAUUAUUUGGUUUUUAAGAGACUAAUCGACAAUUAAAAUAACUUUCUCCACUAAAACUAAUAAACAUGAGGUCAAAUAGAAGGAACAGUUUUAAAUACUGCAGUCCCACAAUGACAAGAAUAAAGUUUCUCAACAAAAACUAAAUCUGCUGGUGGAUUCCGAUAAAGUCCUAAUAAAUGAUAAAGUGUGAUACUAAAGGUUUGUGGUGCUAAAAAUGUCCAAGUAAAGAUAUCAAGUUGAACAUCUGGAUGGAGGUUGAUAAAAGUUGACCUCCCUUCAUUUCUCUGGAGCGACUCCAUGGAUUUUAUGGAUGCUGGUUAAAGACCUGCUCUUCUAGUCGUCUUCCUUCUAGUCGCUGUAAAAAGUCAGUCCAUCCUGGCCGACAUCAACACCUCUUCAUGACAACUUGUUCUGCCUCCGACCUCAUGGAAACUCCAGAAACUCGGGAAAACCCAUGGAGACUCAAAGAACUCGUGGAGACUCGAAG